rnacentral:tRNA from 1 species
GGACAGAUAGCGAAGAGGCUAAACGCGGCGGACUGUAAAUCCGCUCCUUCGGGUUCGGGGGUUCGAAUCCCUCUCUCUCCA